rnacentral:rRNA from 1 species
GACGAACGCUGGCGGCGUGCUUAACACAUGCAAGUCGAACGGAAAGGCCCUGCUUUUGUGGGGUGCUCGAGUGGCGAACGGGUGAGUAACACGUGAGUAAACUGCCCUUGACUUUGGGAUAACUUCAGGAAACUUGGGCUCAUACCGGAUAGGAGCUCCUGCUGCAUGGUGGGGGUUGGAAAGUUUCGGCGGUUGGGGAUGGACUCGCGGCUUAUCGGCUUGUUGGUGGGGUAGUGGCUUACCACGGCUUUGACGGGUAGCCGGCCUGAGCGGGUGACCGGCCACAGUGGGACUGAGGUACGGCACAGACUCCUACGGGAGGCAGUGGUGGGGAAUAUUGCACAAUGGGCGGAAGCCUGAUGCAGAAACGCUGCGUGCGGGAUGACGGCCUUCUGGGUGUAAACCGCUUUCGCCUGAGACGGAGCGUGAGUGACGGUAAUGGGUAAAGAAGCACCGGCUAACUACGUG